CGGACGUGGACGAGCUCCGUGCACGGAGACCACAGAAGUCAGCCGAGUGAGCUCGGGUCGGCGCGCCGCCUUCCGCUGCUGCCUCCCGAACGCGGCCAGAGUGCGCGGGAGGGCCGGCCGUCGCCGGGUGAGGGCUGCGUGCCGGCCGGUCCUCUAGGGCCCCGACAGGGGGUGACCCGGGCUUCCCGGGGCGCGGGCGGUCCACCGCCAAGAGACCCCUGCCGCUGAGCGGCUGAGCAGCAGCCCCGCGCUUGCGCGCCGCCCUCCUCCUUGACCUGAGCCUUCCAGCCUUUAAAAUGCCUUCCAAAAGUAUCCCAUCAUAGAGAAGACAGCAUGGCUACCCAGGAGAUACGGCCUCUUGGAGAACUUGGGAGACCCCAACUUUAAAGAGGCGCAGAGUUAUGGGGAGAAGAUCCAGCACUGUUUGACUGGACCAGCGGGAAAGCAGGCCUGUAGAUGAGAGUCGGGAGUAUCUUGAACAAAAAUGGAAAAGAGUUCGGUAAGAACCCGUGGUGGAGUCCCUCUCCUUUCUCCUUCAGCCAGGAGUGCAUGACCAAGUGCCCAGUGGGAAUGGGUUCCAGAAAAACACCCCCUCUACUUCCACAUUUCCUUCCAUUGGACAUGUUUGGCAGAAUUUGCUAUUCUUCUCUAGCCACUUGAAUGUUUAGAACCUGCUGUAUUGUGACAAUGGUAACAAUAUUUGACACAAAUUGAUGAAAAUAUGUCAAUGCCUCUAUUUUUAAAUGCUUGAUAAAGAGGAAGGAAAUUCAUUGUACCUUAUUUACAUACAGUAAAAUUUUAGAGCUCCUCUCUUCUAUAAACAUUUGUAUUUGCACAUAAAGGAAACGUUCACUGAAAAUAGGUUUUGCUAUCUAUGGCAUUAUAUUAAAACUGGGUGGCUCAGUCAGUUAAGCGUCCGACUUCGGCUCAGGUCGUGAUCUCACAGUUCGUGGUUCAAGCCCCGCGUUGGGCUCUGUGCUGACAGCUCAGAGACUGGAGCCUGCUUCCGAU